GUAACGCUACGGCAGGCUAAUACACCGCAAGUCGAACGGUGUCUUCGGACAUAGUGGCGCACGGGUGCGUAACACGUAUGCAACCUACCUUACAUUGGGGGAUAGCCUUUCGAAAGGGAGAUUAAUACCGCAUAAGACAGUAGCUGGGCAUCCAGCAGCUGUUAAAGAUUUAUCGAUGUAAGCUGGGCAUGCAGUCCAAUUAGCUAGUUGGUGAGGUAAUGGCUCACCAAGGCAAUGAUUGGUAGGGGAACUGAGAGGUCAAUCCCCCACACUGGCACUGAGAUACGGGCCAGACUCCUACGGGAGGCAGCAGUAGUGGAAUAUUGGGCAAUGGACGCAAGUCUGACCCAGCCAUGCCGCGUGCAGGAUGAAGGCGUUAUGCGUUCGUAAACUGCUUUUAUACAGGAAGAAACGACUCUUGCGAGAGGCAUUGACGGUACUGUAUGAAUAAGCACCGGCUAACUCCGUGCCAGCAGCACGCGGUAAUACGGAGUGGUGCAAGCGUUGUCCGGAUUCAAUCGGGUUAUAAACGGGUGCAGCAGAGUGAGAUAUAUUAAAGUUCACUGGUGAAACCGACGGAUACGGCUCAACGAUUUGCAGUUGCCAAUUGCACAACUUGCGUCACGACUUGACGUUAAACGUAGAGCGUGGGCGGGCAACUUGAUAACUGUAAGCGGCUAGAAACUUGCACUAGAUAUUCAUCAAGAACUCCAAUUGCGUAAGCAAGCAUCACU
rnacentral:rRNA from 1 species